AAGUCGUAACAAGGUUUCCGUAGGUGAACCUGCGGAAGGAUCAUUACCAAUUCAACGGUGUGGUCGCGGCCUCCGGGGGCUCCCCCCGGGCGGUAGAGGUAACACUCUUACGCGCCACAUGUCUGAAUCCUUUUUUUACGAGCACCUUUCGUUCUCCUUCGGUGGGGCAACCUGCCGUUGGAACUUAUCAAAACCUUUUGCAUCUAGCAUUACCUGUUCAGAUACAAACAAUCGUUACAACUUUCAACAAUGGAUCUCUUGGCUCUG
rnacentral:misc_RNA from 1 species